CUGUUGUUAUUCAACAGGUGCUACAGGACUGGAUGUAGAUGCAACCGUUCGAGUCCAUCCCAGUAAGAGCUUCAAAGUGUCUCUUUGGGAUUUUCCACAGUCUGGCUUCCGGGAUUCCAGUCCGAAAACGCCUCCGAUCUUGUCUACCGGGUAGCCCGCUAUUUCAAACGAAAAUACUGAGAUAUUCUAAGGGGGCGUGUGUUUCGAUGAGAACCUGCAAACCCAACCAGCCCGUGCAAAGUGCAAGUGCAAACAUGGCAGUGAUAACUAAGCAUAUUAAUGGAGGUCCUAGAGGUCAACGGAAAAGGCAAAACGGUAGGGCUGAAUUCAUGCUUUAGUCCUUGAAGACUUACGAGGAAACUAUCCCAAGACGGCAAAGAUUCACUUCGAAGUCAAACAGCAGCGAAAGACUGACCUCUACAGGGUGUAUAAUUUCCGGGUCAGUGAUUCUAGUUAAGUAAAGACCUUUUUCAGGCUCCAGAGCUAAGUAGAAGUGCGACAUGGUCAAUGGAAAACAGCGGUUAAACGUUUGCGCAUGCGCGAACGCUGUAAUGGCGUGCCAUGAGGAUGUCAGAACCAUGUUACUUGACAAGAACAACCUGCCUGGAGGCGUUGAAAUGGGAUGAGUUGCUCGUUUGGUUAGACGUGGAAAAUAAUAAAUUUACUGUUGACACAGAAUUAGCCCCUAACCAGACAUUCUUAAGGCCCGUCACUGGAUAUUGCAACACAGGAUAUUAAUGUGGUCACCCAUCCAAGUAUCAACCUUAGCCAAAAGGGCUUAAGUUCAAUGAAAAGCGCAAGAGCGUGGGUAAUUAUCAUGCAAGACUAUGAUGUGGACGAAGGUUGACGGAAAUUUAGACGUAGUCUGCCUUUGGCAUCCUACUCACCGCUGACCAAGCGUCUUCUAUUUGCGAGUUAACAACGGUGUAAGGAAACAGGCAUGCACAGUUCUUACCCAAAGCAAGGCUAUUAAGCACAAUGUUUUACACGGAAUUCUCUUCUUCUGAGGCAUAAUGAAGUUAUUUCCUGUAAAGUCAAAACUUUUCUUCAGAUUCGUGUGGCUCUUUUACAUUGUUGCUUCACAAGGGUUUUUCGCUUGGUAAAUUAGUUUCGCCUAUAUUUGCGUCAAAAUUAAUGUAGCACUUGCUUUGGUACUGUUAGACUACCUCAUGCAAUCAGUCUCUCUAAGUGCCGAUAUAAUUCACUCCAU